CGGCAACAGCUCAAAUUUGAAAUCUGGCUCUUCUAGGGUCCGAGUUGUAAUUUGUAGAAGAUGCUUCGGGUGAGGUGCCUUCCAAGUGCCCUGGAACGGGACGCCGGAGAGGGUGAGAGCCCCGUACAGUCGGACACCAAGCCCAUGUGAAGCUCCUUCGAC
rnacentral:rRNA from 1 species